rnacentral:lncRNA from 1 species
GCGAGUGAAAAAGCGAGUUCAAGAUGAUUUUAAAUAUUUUGUGUUUUUAUUUUUUUUUGUUAACUAAAUUUUGUGAGUUCAAGAUGAUUUUAAAUAUUUUUUGUUGUUAUUUUUUUUGUUAACUAAAUUUUGUAUGAAUAAUAAUUUGCUAACGUAAUUACUUAUGUUUCUAAUUGAAAGCUUGCAAGUUAUGGAAAAUUACGAUCCAUGGGGGUGGCCAUA